CCUACGGGAGGCAGCAGUGGGGAAUAUUGCACAAUGGGGGAAACCCUGCUGCAGCAACGCCGCGUGAGUGAUGACGGCCUUCGGGUUGUAAAGCUCUGUCUUCAGGGACGAUAAUGACGGUAUCUGAGGAGGAAGCCACGGCUAACUACGUACCAGCAGCCGCGGUAAUACGUGGGUGGCGAGCGUUGUCCGGAUUUACUGGGCGUAAAGGGAGCGUAGGCGGACUUUUAAGUGAUAUGUGAAAUACUCGGGCGAAACUUGAGUGCUGCAUUUAAACGUGGAAGGCUAGAGUGCAGGAGAGGAGAAUGGAAUUCCUGGUGUAGCGGUGAAAGGCGUAGAGAUUAGGAAGAACACCAGAGGCGAAGGCGAUUCUCUGGACUGUAACUGACGCUGAGGCUCGAAAGCGUGGGGAGCAAACAGGAUUAGAUACCCGGGUAGU
rnacentral:rRNA from 1 species